AAUAGAUACCCUGGUAGUCCACGCCGUAAACGAUGAGUGCUAGGUGUUGGGGGGUUCCACCCUCAGUGCUGAAGUUAACACAUUAAGCACUCCGCCUGGGGAGUACGACCGCAAGGUUGAAACUCAAAGGAAUUGACGGGGGCCCGCACAAGCAGUGGAGCAUGUGGUUUAAUUCGAAGCAACGCGAAGAACCUUACCAGGUCUUGACAUCCUUUGACCACUCUAGAGAUAGAGCUUUCCCCUUCGGGGGACAAAGUGACAGGUGGUGCAUGGUUGUCGUCAGCUCGUGUCGUGAGAUGUUGGGUUAAGUCCCGCAACGAGCGCAACCCUUGACCUUAGUUGCCAGCAUUCAGUUGGGCACUCUAAGGUGACUGCCGGUGACAAACCGGAGGAAGGUGGGGAUGACGUCAAAUCAUCAUGCCCCUUAUGACCUGGGCUACACACGUGCUACAAUGGAUGAUACAAAGGGUUGCGAAGCCGCGAGGCCAAGCCAAUCCCAAAAAGUCAUUCUCAGUUCGGAUUGUAGGCUGC
rnacentral:rRNA from 1 species